rnacentral:rRNA from 1 species
AGGAUCAUUACCGAACUGUCGACAAGAGUUGUUGCUGGUCCUCAAACGGGGGCAUGUGCACGCUCUGUUAGCACAUCCACUCACACCCUGUGCACCCUCUGUAGUUCUAUGGUUGGGGGGCCCUGUCCUCCUGCCGUGGUCCUGCAUCUUUACACACACGCUGUAACAAAGUCUUAUGGAAUGCAUGCCGCGUCUAACGCAAUACAAUACAACUUUCAGCAACGGAUCUCUUGGCUCUCGCAUCGAUGAAGAACGCAGCGAAAUGCGAUAAGUAAUGUGAAUUGCAGAAUUCAGUGAAUCAUCGAAUCUUUGAACGCACCUUGCGCCCUUUGGCCAUUCCAAAGGGCAUGCCUGUUUGAGUAUCAUGAACACCUCAACUCCUCAUGGUUUUCCGUGAUGAGCUUGGACUUUGGGGGUUUUGCUGGCCCUACGGUCGGCUCCUCUAAAAUGAAUCAGCUUGCCAGUGUUUGGUGGGCAUCACAGGUGUGAUAACUAUCUACGCUUGUGGUUUUCCACCAGGUAACCUUCAGCAGUGGAGGUUCACUGGAGCUCACAGAUGUCUCUCCUCGGUGAGGACGGCCCUUUGAAUGUUUGAUCUCAAAUCAGGUAGGACUACCCGCUGAACUUAAGCAUAUCAAUAAGCGGAGGAAAAGAAACUAACAAGGAUUCCCCUAGUAACUGCGAGUGAAGCGGGAAGAGCUCAAAUUUAAAAUCUGGCGUGCCUCUGGUCGUCCGAGUUGUAGUCUGGAGAAGUGUUUUCCGUGUUGGACCGUGUACAAGUCCCUUGGAACA